rnacentral:rRNA from 1 species
GCUCUUUUGGGUCUUGUAAUUGGAAUGAGUACAAUUUAAAUCCCUUAACGAGGAACAAUUGGAGGGCAAGUCUGGUGCCAGCAGCCGCGGUAAUUCCAGCUCCAAUAGCGUAUAUUAAAGUUGUUGCAGUUAAAAAGCUCGUAGUUGAACCUUGGGCCUGGCUGGCCGGUCCGCCUCACCGCGUGCACUGGUCCGGCCGGGUCUUUCCUUCUGGGGAGCCGCAUGCCCUUCACUGGGUGUGUCGGGGAACCAGGACUUUUACUUUGAAAAAAUUAGAGUGUUCAAAGCAGGCCUAUGCUCGAAUACAUUAGCAUGGAAUAAUAGAAUAGGACGUGUGGUUCUAUUUUGUUGGUUUCUAGGACCGCCGUAAUGAUUAAUAGGGAUAGUCGGGGGCAUCAGUAUUCAAUUGUCAGAGGUGAAAUUCUUGGAUUUAUUGAAGACUAACUACUGCGAAAGCAUUUGCCAAGGAUGUUUUCAUUAAUCAGUGAACGAAAGUUAGGGGAUCGAAGACGAUCAGAUACCGUCGUAGUCUUAACCAUAAACUAUGCCGACUAGGGAUCGGGCGAUGUUAUCUUUUUGACUCGCUCGGCACCUUACGAGAAAUCUAAGUCUUUGGGUUCUGGGGGGAGUAUGGUCGCAAGGCUGAAACUUAAAGAAAUUGACGGAAGGGCACCACCAGGAGUGGAGCCUGCGGCUUAAUUUGACUCAACACGGGGAAACUCACCAGGUCCAGACACAAUAAGGAUUGACAGAUUGAGGGCUCUUUCUUGAUUUUGUGGGUGGUGGUGCAUGGCCGUUCUUAGUUGGUGGAGUGAUUUGUCUGCUUAAUUGCGAUAACGAACGAGACCUUAACCUGCUAAAUAGCCAGGCUAGCUUUGGCUGGUCGCCGGCUUCUUAGAGGGACUUUCGGCUCAAGCCGAUGGAAGUUUGAGGCAAUAACAGGUCUGUGAUGCCCUUAGAUGUUCUGGGCCGCACGCGCGCUACACUGAAGUGAUCAGCGUGCUUUUGUCAACCUACUCUGUCAAGAGUGGGGAACCCAAUGAACCUUCUUCGUGAUUGGGAUAGGGGAUUGUAAUUAUUCCCCUUGAACGAGGAAUUCCCAGUAAGCGCGAGUCAUAAGCUCGCGUUGAUUACGUCCCUGCCCAUUGUACACACCGCCC